rnacentral:rRNA from 1 species
GGCCGCAAGGUUAAAACUCAAAUGAAUUGACGGGGGCCCGCACAAGCGGUGGAGCAUGUGGUUUAAUUCGAUGCAACGCGAAGAACCUUACCUGGUCUUGACAUCCACAGAACUUUCCAGAGAUGGAUUGGUGCCUUCGGGAACUGUGAGACAGGUGCUGCAUGGCUGUCGUCAGCUCGUGUUGUGAAAUGUUGGGUUAAGUCCCGCAACGAGCGCAACCCUUAUCCUUUGU